AUUGAACGCUGGCGGCAGGCUUAACACAUGCAAGUCGAGCGAGCGGCGGACGGGUGAGUAAUGUCUGGGAAACUGCCUGAUGGAGGGGGAUAACUACUGGAAACGGUAGGUUAAACCGCAUACCAUCAGAGGUGCCCAGAUGGGAUUAGCUAGUUGGUGGGGUAAUGGCUCAACUAGGCGACGAUCCCUAGCUGGUCUGAGAGGAUGACCAGCCACACUGGAACUGAGACCCGGCCCAGACUCCUACGGGAGGCAGCAGUGGGGAAUCUUGCACAAUGGGCGCAAGCCUGACGCAGCCAUGCCGCGUGUGUGAAGAAGGCCUGCGGGUUGUAAAGCACUUUUAGCCAGGAGGCGUUACUCGCAGAAGAAGCACCGGCUAACUCCGGGCCAGGCGCCGCGGUAAUAC
rnacentral:rRNA from 1 species